GUCCACGCCCUAAACGAUGUCAACCAGUUGUCGGGACUUAAUUGUCUUGGUAACGCAGCUAACGCGUGAAGUUGACCGCCUGGGGAGUACGGUCGCAAGAUUAAAACUCAAAGGAAUUGACGGGGACCCGCACAAGCGGUGGAUGAUGUGGAUUAAUUCGAUGCAACGCGAAAAACCUUACCUACCCUUGACAUGGUACAAAUUUUCCAGAGAUGGAAGAGUGCUCGCAAGAGAAUGUAUACACAGGUGCUGCAUGGCUGUCGU
rnacentral:rRNA from 1 species